rnacentral:rRNA from 1 species
UACAGAGGGUGCGAGCGUUGUCCGGAAUCACUGGGCGUAAAGGGCGCGUAGGCGGCCUGGUAAGUAAGGGGUGAAAUCUUGCGGCUCAACUGCAAGGCUGCCUCUUAAACUGCUAGGCUGGAGCACGGUAGAGGCAGAUGGAAUUCCCGGUGUAGCGGUGGAAUGCGUAGAGAUCGGGAAGAACAUGGUGGCGAAGGCGGUCUGCUGGGCCGGUUGCUGACGCUGAGGCGCGACAGCGUGGGGAGCAAACAGG